rnacentral:piRNA from 1 species
GAUUGCGUCGCUUAGAAAUGUGGAACCC